UAACUACCCAGACAGCACAUGUACGUCUGGCCGACGUCGGCCCAAUAUCGAAACGUCGGCCUCUAUACCUAAAACAUCUAUAAAACAUCGGCCUGGUGGAGGCCGAUAUAAUUUGGUCAGUGCUCUGUUCUCCAGCUCAUCAAUCGUCGGCCCUGAGUUGGUUCACGACCGCGGGCCGAUGCCGCGCUUCUCUGUGUGCGCGUGCCCAGUAUUCGUCUCUUUUAGCCACCCAGAGAGAGAGAAGAGGAUAAUCCCAGCGACAUCUGUGGCUCUGAGGCUUUCAGAAAUAAUCCGGUGAAAUAAUAUGGUGAGCUAUUGUUGCUGUUGCUUCUGAACUACAAAAUGAUUUUUACAUUUAUUAUUGAAUGAGACUGUACAUUAUAAAUGUAAUGCUUUAACUCUAGAUGUUUGUUUGUGUGAAUGCUGUGUGUGCUGUGAGUCCUGCGCGAGCGGGGAGCAGAGUUGCCAUGGAAACGGGGCAUCAACACAAAAACCGUUGCUGACAAGCAGUAAUCUCCGUCUCUCGCUGCGGUUUACACUGUUUUAGGUAAGUUUAGUCGCUAAAAUCACACAAAUAUUAUAUACAAAUGUUCCUGACACGUUUCUUGCUUGUUAUUGACAUGUUUCAAUUAGAUUUAUUUUAUAGAAACGGUUUAGUGUCUUCGGAAAUGUCCGUUAUCAUUUUAGCAGUUUUCAGGUAACGUUAGGCUAACUAUAUAGAUUGAUCUCUUGUUGAUGAAACUCUGGGCUUUUAAUCAAAUCUUCGAUUUGAUUAAAACAAAAUGAUAUUUAAAUUAAUUAUUGAAUGAUUAUUGAAUAAGACUGUACUUUAUAAAUGUAAUGUUUUAACUCUAGAUGUUUGUUUGUGUAAAUGCUGUGUGCGCGUUGAGUCCUGCUCAAUCGGGGAGCAGAGUUGCCAUGGAAACGGGGCGUCAACACAAAAACCGUUACUGGCAAACAGUAAUCUCCGUCUCUCGCUGCAGUUUACACUGUUUUGGAAACGGUUUAGUUUCUUCGAAAAAGUCCGUUAGCAUCUUAGCAGUUUUCAGGAGGACAGAAAGAAACUCUACAGAACAGAAGUGAAGCUCCAAGAUUUCAACAUUUCUGAAGGGAGAUUCUGACUUAGAAAUACAGGUGACCUGAAGAAGCUCAUGAAAAACAUGAAUAUGCCUUUUUCAGAAUACAUUUCACCAAUUUUAAGAAGUCCCUGACAUCAUAACCUUGUUUCCUUCUAAUGAACCUGGAACUGCAGAGUAAAUAUUGUUGACUCUGUGUCAGAUUGCUUGUUUUGUUCCUGGAUUCUUCAGUGAUGAUGAGCAGAGUCUGAGUGAACCUGCUGUCAGACAGGUUGGCCUGAUUGACGAUGCCAUCAUCCAUCGCCGAUAGCUGAUAGACAUCACGAUGCUGCGCUGGCAAACAGCGUCAUCAGCUCCAGUAUCUCGCGCGUGCAUCUGUUGUCAUGCGACAGAGAAGUCACGUUCUAUAGACAGUUUCUAUGGACAGUUGUGAACGUGCUGACAGCUGGUUGCCCAGGCUAUGGAUUAAAGGGCCAGCAGAGCCCUGCUCACCCUGACGGCCCACCGCUGCUGUCAGAUAACAUCUCCAAGAUGCUAUAAACUGCAGGACCAGAUGGCCAUCCCAAGGUUUCUAGAGAUUACAGCAGCUCCAGACUGAAUCCAAACUCACUUGUGAAGACUUCAGAUGACACCAACGCUCACAAAGACUACAGACAGACGACAACUGUGCAUGAACACACAAAACAUUGGACACACAAAACAAAUAUUAUCCUUAUUUUGCCUAUAAGGGUAAAUUUGAUGAUUUUCAAACUGCUUUAUUGUAACGUCUCUUAUAUCUGUAAAUGAACAAUAUUUACUCUCUGAGUUAUGUGGACCUACAUGUCCCCUUUUAUUUGUAAGCAUCACUUUAAAAAUGUUGAAAGAUAAUGUUAAUGUUAACUGAAUACAAAACUAGAGACUUGUUUAGUAAGAUUUUAUCAGAAAAUAUUUUUGAACUUUUAUCAUGCAAUUUAAAACGUUUUAAUUGCUUAAUUAGUAUUGUUUGCCUGGUUUUAUUUUGUGUUUAUGUAACUCUUUUUAAAAAGUUCUUGGCAUAAAGUUCGCAUGCGAUGCUGACAGCACUGAACACAUGACUUUUUAUUAUGAACUAGAUGGUCUUCCCCGGUGAGUCUCGGUCAUCUCUGGCUUUUUAAACUGUAACCUUGAAACAUGCAUUUCCUGUAAACCUACUUUGAAAUAAGUAUUGUCAAAAGGUGCUAUACUCAUACAACAUUUAACCAUGCAAGGACUGUAGUAAUGGUUAUUUUUGUUUUUACUAUGGGUUUACUGCAAAAGCUGUAGUAAAAUCAUGGUGAUUGUAGUAAAACUAUGGUUGAUUUAGUUUUUUCUAUGGUUUUACUGCAAAAGCUGUAGUAAAAUCAUGGUUAAUUUUCAAAAGACUACAAAUAAUCCCGAAUUAUCCACUUUUGAUCAAAGCAUCUGGUAAAUGUUAAUGUAUUUGUACAUGUAAUAUGAAAUAAAUGAAAAUAUUAAUAAAGUUGCAUCUGUUCUUGA